rnacentral:rRNA from 1 species
UACGUAGGGGGCAAGCGUUGUCCGGAUUUAUUGGGCGUAAAGAGCGUGUAGGCGGCCUGACAGGUCUGCUGUGAAAACUCGAGGCUCAACCUCGAGAUGUCGGCGGAAACCGUCUGGCUAGAGUCCGGAAGAGGAGAGUGGAAUUCCUGGUGUAGCGGUGAAAUGCGCAGAUAUCAGGAAGAACACCUAUGGCGAAGGCGGCCGCCUGGUUGGAUACUGACGCUGAGACGCGAAAGCGUGGGGAGCAAACAGG